UAGAGUUUGAUCCUGGCUCAGGACGAACGCUGGCGGCGUGCUUAACACAUGCAAGUCGAACGGAAAGGCCCUUUCGGGGGUACUCGAGUGGCGAACGGGUGAGUAACACGUGGGUGAUCUGCCCUGCACUUUGGGAUAAGCCUGGGAAACUGGGUCUAAUACCGAAUACACCCUGCUGGUCGCAUGGCCUGGUGGGGGAAAGCUUUUGCGGUGUGGGAUGGGCCCGCGGCCUAUCAGCUUGUUGGUGGGGUGAUGGCCUACCAAGGCGACGACGGGUAGCCGGCCUGAGAGGGUGUCCGGCCACACUGGGACUGAGAUACGGCCCAGACUCCUACGGGAGGCAGCAGUGGGGAAUAUUGCACAAUGGGCGCAAGCCUGAUGCAGCGACGCCGCGUGAGGGAUGACGGCCUUCGGGUUGUAAACCUCUUUCAGUACCGACGAAGCGCAAGUGACGGUAGGUACAGAAGAAGCACCGGCCAACUACGUGCCAGCAGCCGCGGUAAUACGUAGGGUGCGAGCGUUGUCCGGAAUUACUGGGCGUAAAGAGCUCGUAGGUGGUUUGUCGCGUUGUUCGUGAAAACUCACAGCUUAACUGUGGGCGUGCGGGCGAUACGGGCAGACUGGAGUACUGCAGGGGAGACUGGAAUUCCUGGUGUAGCGGUGGAAUGCGCAGAUAUCAGGAGGAACACCGGUGGCGAAGGCGGGUCUCUGGGCAGUAACUGACGCUGAGGAGCGAAAGCGUGGGGAGCGAACAGGAUUAGAUACCCUGGUAGUCCACGCCGUAAACGGUGGGUACUAGGUGUGGGUUUCCUUCCUUGGGAUCCGUGCCGUAGCUAACGCAUUAAGUACCCCGCCUGGGGAGUACGGCCGCAAGGCUAAAACUCAAAGGAAUUGACGGGGGCCCGCACAAGCGGCGGAGCAUGUGGAUUAAUUCGAUGCAACGCGAAGAACCUUACCUGGGUUUGACAUGCACAGGACGCCGGCAGAGAUGUCGGUUCCCUUGUGGCCUGUGUGCAGGUGGUGCAUGGCUGUCGUCAGCUCGUGUCGUGAGAUGUUGGGUUAAGUCCCGCAACGAGCGCAACCCUUGUCUCAUGUUGCCAGCGGGUAAUGCCGGGGACUCGUGAGAGACUGCCGGGGUCAACUCGGAGGAAGGUGGGGAUGACGUCAAGUCAUCAUGCCCCUUAUGUCCAGGGCUUCACACAUGCUACAAUGGCCGGUACAAAGGGCUGCGAUGCCGUGAGGUGGAGCGAAUCCUUUCAAAGCCGGUCUCAGUUCGGAUCGGGGUCUGCAACUCGACCCCGUGAAGUCGGAGUCGCUAGUAAUCGCAGAUCAGCAACGCUGCGGUGAAUACGUUCCCGGGCCUUGUACACACCGCCCGUCACGUCAUGAAAGUCGGUAACACCCGAAGCCGGUGGCCUAACCCCUUGUGGGAGGGAGCCGUCGAAGGUGGGAUCGGCGAUUGGGACGAAGUCGUAACAAGGUAGCCGUA
rnacentral:rRNA from 1 species